UUUAUGAUGAGGGUGAAAGAACAGGGAAACGCCCCUACUAUGACGAUCUUUGUGACAGGUUAAGGAAACAACGAACAGAAAAUGGAACCAAAAUGUUUUCCCCUGCUGAAUGGCUAUCUGUUAGUCAAAUUAAAAGUUUGUUUGCAGGUUUUGCAUCUAAACAACAUUCAAGAAGGGAUAUCCACAUGCUUUACAUGUUGUAGCUCCUGAUCAAGUUGAUGUAAAUGAUGUUGAAUUGAGAAAUGUAUUGUCUGAAAUUGAAAACUGGGAGAUACAAGAGAACAUGUCACUCUUAACCGACAAAAUUUUGUCAACAGAACUUGACCCGUUUCAUGCAGAUACAUGUAAUUGAAAGUGUUUGUAGCAGAUCAUGGACUUUUUAUGAAUACACUUAUGAAUUGUCUCCCUUUAAUGUUAUUAUAAAUGAUUAAUUGUCUUUUAAAAUAUUCAGAAUCAAGUGAGAAAUUGAAGUCAGGCUUGUUCACUCUUCCUUUUAUCAUAUCAAUUUUGGCUGUACAAAUCAUUAAAAAUGAAUGGAUAAUGAAAGACAGUCCUUGCUUUCCAAAAGUCUUAACUUGCCAGGUGGUGCAUUCAGCCUCUAGUUAGAAAAAAAAUAAUCUAAGCUAUGACCAUUGCCUGAGAUGAAAAUUUUUAAAAAUAAAUUAGGCAUCGUCCUUUGAUGGUGCAUGUUUUGUACAAAUUUAAAUCAUUUACCCUCUAAUUUUCCUUGUGAAAAAAUACAAAAUAUCAAAUGCUGUUGUCUUAAAGUAAGUUGUGACCUUGACUUUUGACCUUUAAGGCUACUACAGAGCCUGAAACUGAUAAGAGACUGUUUCCUCUUGUUGGUUAGGUGCAUGUUUGUACCAUAUAUUUUAAUGAAAACUUGAUUUGUUUGAAGGUGCUGUUAUAUGAAAAACUUUUAAAAAAAAAAAAUAUGAAAAAUUGCUAUUAUCUGUAUAUAUUGUGACCAUGACCUUUGAUCUACAGAGCCAAAUUUGAAUCAAUUUCUUUUCUCCUCAUUCCUUUGGGUGUUUGUUGAUUAAGUUUCAUGAAAAUCCAAAGAUGUGUUUCUUUGAGUUCAUCUGUAAAUGAUAUUGUGACUUACAAAAUGACUUAGGAACAACCAGAUGCCAACUUGUAUUUAUAAUUUUGUUAACAGGGGUAAACCUAUUUGCCCCUUCCAUAUAUUCAUAUCUUAUGUUGAUAGAAUAUCUUUUUAAUACAAUUUCAAUAAUUUUUCAACAUAAUUGACCUAAUAGCUCCAGUUUUAAUGUUACUUAUUCAUGUGCAGAAAUUUUGAUUUUUACAGUGUUUGAAGAAAAAUCACAAAAUUUCAUCAUUUUCAUGUCUCUGCCAGACACAUAAGAAUAUGAGUGCCCACCAAUUUUAUUCUUAAAUUAGUUUGUACUAUACUUCAACUUUGCAGUGUGAUAUGAUUUUUUCAAUUGUCAGUGGUAGAUGAGAUUUUGUAUCUGUUUUAAAAUGUGUAAUUUUCAACAAAAAAAAUACGGGAAAAUUUAAUAUAAUUAUCUCCCUUUGACAGGCAA
rnacentral:lncRNA from 1 species